rnacentral:rRNA from 1 species
AGCCGCCGCGGUAAUACGUAGGGUGCGAGCGUUGUCCGGAAUUACUGGGCGUAAAGGGCUCGUAGGUGGUUUGUCGCGUCGUCUGUGAAAUUCCGGGGCUUAACUCCGGGCGUGCAGGCGAUACGGGCAUAACUUGAGUACUGUAGGGGUAACUGGAAUUCCUGGUGUAGCGGUGAAAUGCGCAGAUAUCAGGAGGAACACCGAUGGCGAAGGCAGGUUACUUGGGCAGUUACUGACGCUGAGGAGCGAAAGCAUGGGUAGCGAACAGGAUUAGAUACC